ACACCGAUGGUGAAGCGGUUAUCAUGCUUGCCUUCCAUAUCAUGCGAAGAGAUACUGAGUUGGAGCAAGCGGCAGGGGUUCGACUCCCCUUCGGUGUA